GCAUGGCUUAGGGUCCUCUGAUCAGAGUCUCAAAAGGUGGCUAUCAAGUUGUCAGUCAGAGCUGGGUUCUUGUACGAGGUCUCCUUUCAACCUCAUGUGGUUGUCGGACAACACUCAAUUCCUUGUAGUCGCAGGAUUGUUGACUUGCUUCUUCAAAGCCAGCCACAGAGAAAGAACAGCAGGGAAGAUUGAGAAAGUCAGUCUCGGCCUUCAGACCCAGACUGAAUUAUACCACUGACUUUCCUGGGACUCCAGCCUACAGAGAGCAAGCAGGCUGCAGACUGGAGGACUUGUCAGCACUCAUAAACAGGAAAAGCACAAGGUUUAAGAAGGCCUGGAAGGGGAGACCUAGCCAGUUGCCAGUUGAGAAGAGUAAUGGUGUGACCUGGGUGACAGCCAAAUCAAGUUGUCUUAUCAGAGCAGCUGGCAGAGAAAACAGCUGAACAGACUAAUCCAAAGCAAAGCCCUUACUGUUACACUGCUAGACAACCCAGGCAUACCCAAGUCAAUUGAUAAGCCUAAAGAUAAGGAGCAGGGUAAAAAUUUGGGUGCAAAUUGGAAGACAACUGGAGCAGGGCAGGAGGAAGAACAGAUUCCAUAGUGAUGGUUAUUCUGACCUGUGAUCUUUGUUGAACUGAACUGCUUUCUCUAGACACUAUUGUUACCAAAGGAAAUAACAGGUUCUCAGUCUACCUUACUGCUUAUCGGUUGUGUGGGUCACAGGAAUGGGGGGUGAGGGACUGCUUUAAAGGAUCAGGAUCAGGGUGAACAAAAACUACUGAGGCUUCAGUGUCAGUUAUCCCAAAGCCCACAUGGAUUGUGUGAUUCUGUAAAUCCUAAAUAGGAGCAACCAUCUCUGAUAUUUAUUUUGUGUGACUGUCAACCUCAAAUGCCAUCCUGAAUUCUGUAUAUGACAGUCACCAGCCUGCCUGAUACCUCGUUGAUCAACUUUUCCCCAUGCUACCAAGCCAUGCCAGGUGGACAGAACAAUUCUCCAGGGAAACCAAGAGCUAUCACUUCCUUUUUCUACCUAAUACAUUUUGUCCCUGAUAAUCCAUUUGUCAUAUCUGACUUUCUCCUUCCUGCUGGCAGCAACCAGAGACCCUCUCAUUACACAACUGCCAGGCUUGCUUCAGCCUGAACUGCUGAAGAAUUAACUUGUCAUGUCAGCUCCACCAUGGGAACCUGUGGGGAGUCAGAGCCUCAAACAGCUGAAACAACGGAGGGAAAGAUUUCCUGCCUGUGUCAUUUCCAUCUACAGCACCAUGGUGCACUCAUUAAGGCGUGGGUUGGAAGGUGCUAUAGACAGAUACGGGCACUGGGAGGAUGGAACCUGCUUUUGAACUUAAAACCAUGAAGACACGUGUUUGUAAGACAUUUUGCACCUUUCAAAAACAUUCUCAGAUGCGACCAGGCCAUAGGGAGGUGAUCAUUUCUCUUUUCACAGAGUUAGUUGCCAUGUUGCAGAGAAAUCUCUGAACUCUAAAUCA
rnacentral:lncRNA from 1 species